GAUCAAGAGCAGCUUUGAGACUGUGGUCCCACACUGAGCACAGUAAUAAUCAGCCUCGUCCUCAGCCUGGAGCCCAGUGAUGGUCAGGGUGCCUGUGCUGCCAGACUUGGAGCCAGAGAAUCGUUCAGGGACCCCUGAGGGUCGUCUGUUAUUACCAUAGAUGAGGAGUAGGGGCCUUUCCUGGAAGCUGUUGGUACCAGUUCAUACCAGCCAGACCAAUGUUGCUCCUACUUCCAGUGCAAGAGAUGGUGACCUUCUGGC